GCCAGCCCCCGCCUCCACAGCCGCCCCGCGCCAGCUGGAGGUCUUUAUACUGACCUACAUCUGAGACAGGGUGGACUUGAGCUUGCCUUUUCCACUGUCAGUCUCCUGGGUGCUGGGAUUACAGGUGCCAGGGAUCAACCCAGGGCUCAGCAUGCUAAGUUCUACCAUUGAGAUAUACUCCCAGCCCCAUGAAAUUUAAUGUUUAAUACAUAUUACUGGAUUUAUUUGCUGGUCAGUUUGGUUUGUUUGGGAUUCUGCGUAUCUA